rnacentral:rRNA from 1 species
GACAGAGGGUGCAAACGUUGUUCGGAAUUACUGGGCGUAAAGCGAGUGUAGGCGGUUCGAUAAGUCGGAUGUGAAAGCCCCGGGCUCAACCCGGGAAGUGCACUCGAUACUGUCGAGCUAGAGUAUCGGAGAGGUUGGUGGAAUUCUCGGUGUAGAUGUGAAAUUCGUAGACAUCGAGAGGAACACCGGUGGCGAAGGCGGCCAACUGGACGAAUACUGACGCUGAGACUCGAAAGCGUGGGGAGCAAACAGG